GGAUGGGUUGGGCAUUGGUUAAGCCCAGGUGCCUGAAAAGCGCUGAUCGGGUUUCCCGAUUUGGGGGUUCGAUUCCCCCUCCCUAUUUU
rnacentral:tRNA from 1 species